rnacentral:rRNA from 1 species
UGAGCAAUCUGCCCUUCUCAUCGGAAUAAGCGUUGGAAACGACGUCUAAUGCCGAAUACGACCUCCUUUCGCAUGAUCGGAGGUGGAAAGCUCCGGCGGAGAAGGAUGAGCUCGCGGCCUAUCAGCUAGUUGGUGUGGGUAAUGGCCCACCAAGGCGACGACGGGUAGCCGGCCUGAGAGGGCGACCGGCCACACGUGGGACUGAGACACGGCCCAGACUCCGUACGGGAGCA